UAGGAAUCUUCCACAAUGGACGAAAGUCUGAUGGAGCAACGCCGCGUGAGUGAAGAAGGGUUUCGGCUCGUAAAGCUCUGUUGGUAGUGAAGAAAGAUAGAGGUAGUAACUGGCCUUUAUUGACGGUAAUUACUUAGAAAGUCACGGCUAACUACGUGCC
rnacentral:rRNA from 1 species